rnacentral:rRNA from 1 species
GUACCGUGAGGGAAAGGUGAAAAGCACCCCGACGAGGGGAGUGAAACAGUUUCUGAAACCGGACGCCUACAAGCAGUCGGAGGGGCCUUGAGCCCUGACGGCGUACCUUUUGUAUAAUGGGUCAACGACUUGGUCUGUCUAGCAAGCUUAAGCCGUUAGGUGUAGGCGCAGCGAAAGCGAGUCUUAAAUGGGCGACUUAGUUAGACGGAUCAGACCCGAAACCGAGUGAUCUAGGCAUGAGCAGGAUGAAGGUACGGUAACACGUACUGGAGGUCCGAACCCACACCUGUUGAAAAAGGUCGGGAUGACUUGUGCCUAGGGGUGAAAGGCCAAUCAAAUCUGGAGAUAGCUGGUUCUCCGCGAAAGCUAUUUAGGUAGCGCCUCGGACGAAUACCAUUGGGGGUAGAGCACUGUUUCGGCUAGGGGGUCAUCCCGACUUACCAAACCGAUGCAAACUCCGAAUACCAAUGAGUACUAUCCGGGAGACAGACUGCGGGUGCUAACGUCCGUAGUCAAGAGGAAAACAAUCCAGACCGCCAGCUAAGGCCCCAAAAUUAUAGUUAAGUGGGAAACGAUGUGGGAAGGCAUAGACAGCUAGGAGGUUGGCUUAGAAGCAGCCACCCUUUAAAGAAAGCGUAAUAGCUCACUAGUCGAGUCGGCCUGCGCGGAAGAUGUAACGGGGCUAAAACUAUAUGCCGAAGCUGCGGAUUUGCAAUUUAUUGCAAGUGGUAGGGGAGCGUUCUGUAAGCCGAUGAAGGUGUAUUGAGAAGUAUGCUGGAGGUAUCAGAAGUGCGAAUGCUGACGUGAGUAACGACAAUGCGAGUGAAAAACUCGCACGCUGAAAGACCAAGGGUUCCAGUCCAACGUUAAUCGGGGCUGGGUGAGUCGACCCCUAAGGCGAGGCCGAGAGGCGUAGUCGAUGGGAAAUUGGUUAAUAUUCCAAUACUUCUAUGUAAUGCGAUGAGAGGACGGAGAAGGUUAAGUCAGCCUGGCGUUGGUUGUCCAGGUGGAAGGUUGUAGGCAUGUAUCUUAGGCAAAUCCGGGGUACUCUAUGCUGAGAACUGAUAGCAAGCUGUACUUGUACAGUGAAGUGGCUGAUACCAUGCUUCCAGGAAAAGUCUCUAAGCUUCAGUUACAUAGGAAUCGUACCCGAAACCGACACAGGUGGUCAGGUCGAGUAGACCAAAGCGCUUGAGAGAACUCUGCUGAAGGAACUAGGCAAAAUGGUACCGUAACUUCGGGAGAAGGUACGCUGCCGACGGUGAUAGGAUUUACUCCUUGAGCUAUUGGCAGCCACAGAAACCAGGCCCCUGCAACUGUUUAUUAAAAACAUAGCACUCUGCAAACACGAAAGUGGACGUAUAGGGUGUGAUGCCUGCCCGGUGCUGGAAGGUUAAUUGAUGGGGUUAGCGCAAGCGAAGCUCUUGAUCGAAGCCCCGGUAAACGGCGGCCGUAACAAUAACGGUCCUAAGGUAGCGAAAUUCCUUGUCGGGUAAGUUCCGACCUGCACGAAUGGCAUAAUGAUGGGGGCGCUGUCUCCAGCAGAGACUCAGUGAAAUCGAAUUCGCCGUGAAGAUGCGGUGUACCCGCGGCUAGACGGAAAGACCCCGUGAACCUUUACUGCAGCUUGACAUUGAACUUUGAUCUUACUUGUGUAGGAUAGGUGGGAGGCUUUGAAGC